UUCAAAUAUUGAACCUUGGACUCCGAAUUAUUUUUUUUUCUAUAUUAAUACUAUAUAAUACUAGUGUUAGCCAGCGAACCGUUACAUUUUUAUUUUUUUUAGCAAUAACUAUAAUUGAAUCCUCCUCCAUUGAUGAAGAAUUCAGGUAUUUGUAAGAAGAUUAGGGUUUGAUCCGACUGAUAAUAUCAAAGAUGGAUGAAGCCAAGACGUUGGCUCAACAGCAGCAGCAGCUAAUG
rnacentral:misc_RNA from 1 species